rnacentral:rRNA from 1 species
GUGCCAGCAGGCCGCGGUAAUACGGAGGGAUGCGAGCGUUAUCCGGAUUCAUUGGGUUUAAAGGGUGCGUAGGCGGGAUAAUAAGUCAGUGGUGAAAGUUUGCAGCUUAACUGUAAAAUUGCCGUUGAAACUGUUGUUCUUGAGAGUAGAUAAGGUAGGCGGAAUGUGUUGUGUAGCGGUGAAAUGCAUAGAUAUAACACAGAACCCCGAUUGCGAAGGCAGCUUACCGGGCUACAUCUGACGCUGAUGCACGAAAGCGUGGGGAUCAAACAGGAUUAGAUACCCUGGUAGUCCACGCAGUAAACGAUGAAUACUAGCUGUAUGCGAUAUACUGUAUGUGGCAAAGCGAAAGCAUUAAGUAUUCCACCUGGGGAGUACGUUCGCAAGAAUGAAACUCAAAGGAAUUGACGGGGGCCCGCACAAGCGGAGGAACAUGUGGUUUAAUUCGAUGAUACGCGAGGAACCUUACCCGGGCUUGAAAUGCAAUCGACGGUAGUGGAAACAUUACUUCCAGCAAUGGCGAUUGUGUAGGUGCUGCAUGGUUGUCGUCAGCUCGUGCCGUGAGGUGUCGGCUUAAGUGCCAUAACGAGCGCAACCCUUAUCAUUANUUGCCAUCGGGUCAUGCCGGGAACUCUAAUGAGACUGCCACCGUAAGGUGUGAAGAAAGUGGGGAUGACGUCCAAUCAGCACGGCCCUUACGU